rnacentral:rRNA from 1 species
GACGAACGCUGGCGGCGUGCUUAACACAUGCAAGUCGAACGGAAAGGCCCUGCUUGCAGGGUACUCGAGUGGCGAACGGGUGAGUAACACGUGGGUGAUCUGCCCUGCACUUCGGGAUAAGCUUGGGAAACUGGGUCUAAUACCGGAUAGGAACCAUCUUUAGUGUGGUGGUUGGAAAGUUUUUUCGGUGUAGGAUGAGCUCGCGGCCUAUCAGCGUGUUGGUGGGGUAAUGGCCUACCAAGGCGGCGACGGGUAGCCGGCCUGAGAGGGUGUACGGCCACAUUGGGACGGAGAUACGGCCCAGACUCCUACGGGAGGCAGCAGUGGGGAAUAUUGCACAAUGGGCGCAAGCCUGAUGCAGCGACGCCGCGUGGGGGAUGAAGGCCUUCGGGUUGUAAACUCCUUUCGCUAGGGACGAAGCUUUGUUGUGACGGUACCUAGAUAAGAAGCACCGGCUAACUACGUG